UGAGGAUAUAGCUCGGCUGAUAGAGUACUUGCCUCACAUGCACAAGGCCCUGGGUUCAAUCCCCAGUACCACAA
rnacentral:tRNA from 1 species